CCUUUGUGAACUACCUAUAACUGUUGCUUCGGCGGGUAGGGUCCCCGUGACCCUCCCGGCCUCCCGCCCCCCGGGCGGGUCGGCGCCCGCCGGAGGAUAACCAAACUCUGAUUUAACGACGUUUCUUCUGAGUGGUACAAGCAAAUAAUCAAAACUUUUAACAACGGAUCUCUUGGUUCUGGCAUCGAUGAAGAACGCAGCGAAAUGCGAUAAGUAAUGUGAAUUGCAGAAUUCAGUGAAUCAUCGAAUCUUUGAACGCACAUUGCGCCCGCCAGCAUUCUGGCGGGCAUGCCUGUUCGAGCGUCAUUUCAACCCUCAAGCUCUGCUUGGUGUUGGGGCCCUACAGCUGAUGUAGGCCCUCAAAGGUAGUGGCGGACCCUCCCGGAGCCUCCUUUGCGUAGUAACUUUACGUCUCGCACUGGGAUCCGGAGGGACUCUUGCCGUAAAACCCCCAAUUUUCCAAAGGUUGACCUCGGAUCAGGUAGGAAUACCCGCUGAACUUAA
rnacentral:rRNA from 1 species